AAACGUGUAGUAUAUUUAAUACCUAGACCUUCAAAGUCUAAACAAACCACUCAGGUUCGCGUUUG
rnacentral:tRNA from 1 species